UACGGUGAAUACGUUCCCGGACCUUGCACACACCGCCCGUCAAGCCAUGGAAGCCGGGUGUACCUAAAGUCGGUAACCGUAAAGAGCCGCCUAGGGUAAAACUGGUGACUGGGGCU
rnacentral:rRNA from 1 species